GGAAUCAACGCUGGCGGCGUGCCUAACACAUGCAAGUCGCACGAGAAAGGGGACUUCGGUCCCUGAGUACAGUGGCGCACGGGUGAGUAACACGUGAAUCAUCUACCUUCGAGUGGGGAAUAACUGAGAGAAAUCUUAGCUAAUACCGCAUAAUACCUACGGGUCAAAGCAGCAAUGCGCUGGAAGAGGGGGUCGCGGCUGAUUAGCUAGUUGGCGGGGUAAUGGCCCACCAAGGCGAAGAU
rnacentral:rRNA from 1 species